UACGUAGGGUGCAAGCGUUAAUCGGAAUUACUGGGCGUAAAGCGUGCGCAGGCGGUUUUGUAAGUCUGUCGUGAAAUCCCCGGGCUCAACCUGGGAAUUCGCGAUGGAGACUGCAAGGCUGGAGUCUGGCAGAGGGGGGUAGAAUUCCACGUGUGAGCAGUUGAAAUGCGUAGAGAUGUGGAGGAACACCGAUGGCGAAGCAGCCCCCUGGGUCAAGACUGACGCUCCAUGCACGAAAGCGUG
rnacentral:rRNA from 1 species